UACGGGGGGGGGCAAGCGUUGUUCGGAAUUACUGGGCGUAAAGGCUCGUAGGCGGCCAACUAAGUCAGACGUGAAAUCCCUCGGCUUAACCGGGGAACUGCAUCUGAUACUGGAUGGCUUGAGUUCGGGAGAGGGAUGCGGAAUUCCAGGUGUAGCGGUGAAAUGCGUAGAUAUUUGGAGGAACACCGGUGGCGAAGGCGGCAUCCUGGACCGACACUGACGCUGAGGAGCGAAAGCGUGGGGAGCAAACA
rnacentral:rRNA from 1 species